UCGUUUCUCUCCAAGCCUGCGUGGGCCU
rnacentral:sRNA from 1 species